UGUGCUGCUAGAAACAAAUCCGCCUGCAAGGUGACAUAACAUUCAAGUAAAUAGUUAUAUCACCAAACAACUUUAUGCAAAUUAUUGAUCUAGGAGGAAGUGAAGUUUUUAUAUAAAUUUUCAUCACUUCAUGUCAAAGCCUAGCCUUCUAGAGCUCCAAUUGCCAUCAUCUCAUCCCACAAGCUCAAUCCAUGGUUUGGGAGCACAUAUUACUUUGGGAUUGUGAUCUCAAACAAGGUGUCAAUUAAUAUCUUUUAGAAGAUGGUAUCAAUUAGUAUUUCUUCAUACUACAUAUAGUGCCAGAAGAUUGAUGGUUGCCAUACCAAACUUGUACUGACAUAACAAGUCGGUAAAGAAACAUAAGUUUGGUUUUUCCCCUUUUCAGACUAGUAUUUCCACCAGCAGAUGAGUAAUCUUCAUUGUUUUACAGGGCCUCCAGGAAUAGCUCUUGCCAAUUAUUUAACAAAUAAAUGAAAUAUGCAUGUGGUUAUUAAACAAAUCCUCAUGUGCAUAACUGAUCGACCAAGAAAAUUUAGUUUUUUUCCUUGAUAAGUGGCAGUUUAUGAUAAUGCACAUAGAGUCAUGUACCUUUUCUUUCCAUCUAAACAGACAAUAGGCAGUGUAACAACCUUAACAAGUCCAUAUUCCCUUAUCUCACAGAAAAAAAAAAAUGCAUGUAGGAUUGUAAAAACCAUUCCAUAAACUUAUGGGACAAUGGCAGACACUUUUGAAUCCCACUUCUAUAUAAGUGUGUGCAGGCAUAAUUGUGUAAAUUAUAUUAGAAAGCUAGAAGUGUUAACAGAAAAAAAGAAGAAAAACAAAACCAGGAAAAUUUCAUCUCCAGUCG
rnacentral:misc_RNA from 1 species